AUUGAACGCUGGCGGCAGGCUUAACACAUGCAAGUCGAGCGGAGAGAGGUAGCUUGCUACUGAUCUUAGCGGCGGACGGGUGAGUAAUGCUUAGGAAUCUGCCUAUUAGUGGGGGACAACAUUUCGAAAGGAAUGCUAAUACCGCAUGCGUCCUACGGGAGAAAGCAGGGGAUCUUCGGACCUUGCGCUAAUAGAUGAGCCUAAGUCGGAUUAGCUAGUUGGUGGGGUAAAGGCCUACCAAGGCGACGAUCUGUAGCGGGUCUGAGAGGAUGAUCCGCCACACUGGGACUGAGACACGGCCCAGACUCCUACGGGAGGCAGCAGUGGGGAAUAUUGGACAAUGGGCGCAAGCCUGAUCCAGCCAUGCCGCGUGUGUGAAGAAGGCCUUAUGGUUGUAAAGCACUUUAAGCGAGGAGGAGGCUACUUUAGAUAAUACCUAGAGAUAGUGGACGUUACUCGCAGAAUAAGCACCGGCUAACUCUGUGCCAGCCGCCGCGGUAA
rnacentral:rRNA from 1 species